UAAACUCUGCUUGCUUCUCCCCCUGGUGUGUUUAUUGGCGCUAAGCACUCCGGGCACAGACCACUGUUGCUUGCCUUGAGCACCUUCUGGUGCCUGCAACAUGUCAGCAGCGGCUCCGUGCCAUUCUCCCCCCCUUCACUCGCUGGUCCCAGGGCCCGGCUCGGAGCAGUGCCAGGGGGCAGCGGGCUCUGAGCCGGGGGAGGAUCGCUCCGCCCUGCCUCAGUUUCUCUCUCCACCCACAGCCGGUGAAGCAGCGUUGUGUCCUCGCCGGUCUCCGCACCGAGCGGCCGCGGCAGGAGCCCCCCUGCAAUCGUAAGUGCAGAUUCUCCCUGCCCGGGGAGGGGGCGCUGACUCUGCUCGAAGGUGAGUGUCCGGCCUGGGGUGGUAGGGGCCGCAAGCAGCCUCUCACUCAGGUGAAGUCAGGGUGCGGGGGCUGUACAGCACCAGCACAGCUGCUGUGGCAUGAGCAGCGCCUGCCCUGAGCGCGGUUGGAGGUUUUCUGGGGCUGGAGGGACUCCACCUCCCCGAGUGGCAGUAGCUGCCCACCUAGCAGCAGCUACACCCCGAGGUGGGUCUUCGUAGCGACACUCAGGCGUGUGGCUUUUCCCACCCCUGACUGGAGUAACUAGGUCCACCUGUGUUUUAACUCACUCUCACCUGUCUGCUCUGCAGGGCUGUUUGGGGAGGCACAGCCUUCCCUACCUGGCCCUUCAGACAAUUUUGGAAUCUUGAUAUGGUCCUCAGACCAAAAAGUUUGCCCACACCUGCCCUAAUGUCUCCCCGCCCCUGUCAAAAAAAAGUGGCCUUAUGUAUGUCAU